ensembl:lncRNA
CAGGAGCUGUCAGUAGUAUAAGAACAGAAGAUUACUGAGGAUUAGACAACAGUGAUCUCAGAAUGCUUCAGACUACCCAAAAGUGCUAGAAAGGAGACAAGAUUUUCAGGUGAAGAACAACAGGAAAGGACCACCUGCCCAGGGGCGCCACCAAUCAUAAUGGGUUGGGCCCUCACACAUCAAUCACUAAUCAAGAACGUGCCCUGCAGACUUGUCUACCUGCCAAUCUGAUGGAGGCACGCUCUCAACUGAGGUUUUACCAAUCUGAUGGAGGCACGCUCUCAACUGAGGUUUUAUCUUUCCAAGUGGUCCGGCUUGUGUCAAGUUGUCAGGAAGCUGACCAUCCCAACCUCUAGAGUAGUUAGGUUUUUUUGUUUUGUUUUGUUUUUUGUUUCAGAUCAGGCCCUCCAGGGGAAGCAAAAGA